CGCGGCGUAUAUAAGGUUCGAUUUAUUUGUUUUUAUUUAAACUGUUUCUGAGCUUUAGAGCUUCUGAGCAGCAGCAGCAGCAGCAGCAGCAGCAGCUUUUCACUUGCGAGAGACACUUUUACAACUACAUACCCACCACCUGAUUUACACUUUAGACUGUUUAAUUAUCUUUAUUCUGAUUUAAUUAUUCUGUAAUUGUUGUAUUUUCUUUGUUGUUGUUGUUGUUGUGUUUUUUGUUGUUGUUUUUAUCUUCAGGUUACCGGAUCAGGUGAGGGACCAACGCCCCGCGGUCGGAAAUGGCCUGGUGGCUGAGGAUUUCUACGGUCCUUCCACGUGAGGCGGAGUCUGGUGCUCCAGAGGCUUCACCUCCUCACACUCCGCCUCUUUCUGUGGACUCCGAUCUGGACUUCAGCUCCGAUGACUCCAGCCUUCUGUCCACCAGUCUUCAGUCGCUGGGUGAAGUGCCAGAGCCCUGUGUGGAGCUGAGAGCCUGUAUUAUGCAGUGCAUAGAAGACCACCUCCCCAGCACCAUGGAGCCUCCCUCUCCUCCACAUCCCAGGCCAGUUCAGGGAGUCAUUGUGUCUGUUGCAGAGGCAGUGCCCUCUCACAGGCUGGACUCCUCUGAACCAGUGCCUGGCAUCAUGGCUGAGCCAGCUGCACAGGUUGUGGCUGGCUUGGACCAUGAUGUGGAGGAGGACGGUCGUAGGCAGGAUGGUAUCGGAGAGGAGGAGAUUCUGGAGCCUGCUCCCAGUCUACAGUCGGCAGAGCCACCCCAGCAGGACACCGGACACCUCUCACCGACCCUCCACACUCGGGGCAGGUCCCAGAAACAGCGCAGCACCACAUUUAACCUGUGUAGCUUGCUUUGUUGUUUCAGGUCUCGUCGCCGAGUCGGGGUGCUGGUUGGGGAGGCAGACCACAGGCUGGACCUUCAGGAGACCUAGCCUGAACCUGAGCCAGUGCCUGCUGCACAGGGAGGAUGGCUACAGCGCUUCCUGCGUCGCUUUAGGAGGACAGCCAGGAAGCGGUGAAAAGGCUGCCCAUAUAACAUCUGGGAGCAGAGCUUCUUUUUACACACAUACAUAAACAUACAUACACACAUAGAUACAUACAAACAUGCAUACAUAAAUAAAUAGAUACAUACAUACA
rnacentral:lncRNA from 1 species